CGCACAUUGCGCCCUUUGGCAUUCCGAGGGGCAUGCCUGUUCGAGCGUCAUUACACCACUCAAGCCCGGCUUGGUAUUGGGCGGCAGGCCUUCCUCCGCCUUAAUUUCUCCGGCUGGACGACCCGUAUCUCAGCGUUGUGGCAUUGAAUUCGCUGGCGGAAACGGGUGGUUCACGCCGAUAAACCUUCAAUUAAGGUUGACCUCGGAUCAGGUAGGGAUACCCGCUGAACUUAA
rnacentral:misc_RNA from 1 species